GAGCGCCGUAUGCGGUGAAAGUCGCACGUACGGUGUGGGUCAGGGGAAAACGUGGAGAUAAGAUCAAAGCGUUACCUAUUGACAU
rnacentral:ncRNA from 1 species